rnacentral:rRNA from 1 species
UACGUAGGUGGCAAGCGAUACUCGGAAUCACUAGGCGUAAAGCGCAGGUAGGCGGUUUAGUAAGUCUUUUGUGAAAGCUCCCGGCUCAACUGGGAGAGGUCAAAGGAAACUACUAGGCUAGAGUUUGGUAGGGGAUACUGGAAUUCCUGGUGUAGCGGUGAAAUGCGUAGAUAUCAGGAGGAAUACCUAUGGCGAAAGCAGGUAUCUGGGCCACAACUGACGCUGAGCUGCGAAAGCUAGGGGAGCAAACAGG